rnacentral:rRNA from 1 species
UACAGAGGGUGCGAGCGUUAAUCGGAAUUACUGGGCGUAAAGCGCACGUAGUCGGCUUGCCAAGUCGGGUGUGAAAUCCCCGGGCUCAACCUGGGAACUGCAUCCGAAACUGGCUUGCUAGAGUAUGGGAGAGGGAGGCGGAAUUUCUGGUGUAGCAGUGAAAUGCGUAGAUAUCAGAAGGAACAUCAGUGGCGAAAGCGGCUUCCUGGACCGAUACUGACGCUGAGGAGCGAAAGCCAGGGGAGCAAACGGG